rnacentral:lncRNA from 1 species
UUUUUGUUUUCUUUUUGGUUUCCUUUGCUGUGCAAAAGCUUGUCAGUCUGAUUAGGUCCCAUUGGUUUAUUUUUGCUUUUAUUUCUGUUGCUUUGGGAGACUGACCUGAGAAAACAUUUGUAAGGUUGAUGUCAGAGAAUGUUUUGCUUGUGUUCUCUUCCAGGAGUUUGAUGGUGUCUUCUCUUAUGUUUAAGUCUUUAAGCCUUUUUGAGUUUAUUUCUGUGUAUGGUGUGAGGGAAUGUUUUAGUUUCAUUGAUUUACAUGCAGCUGUCCAAGUUUUCCAGCACCACUUGCUGAAAAGACUGUUUUUUUCCCAUUUUAUGUUCUUGUCUCCUUUGUCAAAGAUUAAUUGACCAUAGGUGUCUGGGUUUAUUUAUGCAUUCUCUAUUCUGUUCCAUUGGUCUGUAUGUCUGUUUUGGUAUCAGCACCACACUGUCCUGAUGACUGUGGCUUUGUAAUAUAGACUGAAGUCUGGGAAAGUUAUGCCUCCUGCUUAGUUUUUGUUCCUCAGAAUUGCUUUGGCAAUUCUGGGUCUUUUGUGGUUUCAUAUAAAUUUUUGGAUUGUUUGUUCUAGUUCUGUGAAAAAUGUCAUGAGUAAUUUUAUAGGACCUCUAUUCUUAACAGAAGGGGUUUGAUCCAGGCCCCUGUUAUUCCAUUUCAACUGACAGGAUAAUGAGUCAUUACAGAGAACAGCUCCACCUCUACCCACCCCAGAAUCAUACUUGUCCCAUACACAUCAACCUCCCCAAUAUCCACAUCUCCUUCAUUUCCCUUUCCAUACUGACCAACAUUAACCUCUGCAUUAAUACUUUAAUGGGUCAUGAACAUCAAUACAAUUGUUAUCAUUAUCUGAAAAGCCAUCACUAUUUUAGAAACCAGUGUGCUAUGUUGGAAAGAGAAAAGGAGCUCUGAAGGUAGGCUGAAGUACAUUCAAAUUAUAGCCGUUGCUUUCAACAUUUAUGGGAGGUUGGGCAAGUUCCACAUCUUGAAUGUUUUUCUUCAUCUGUACAUGAUGGGGAUGAUAACCUCAUCACAGAGUUUGCAAAGAUUAAAUGAAGUCAAGUACGUACAGCAUCUUGUAGAGUAACGGCUCCUAAGAGGUGUCCAGUGUUUUUGUUUUUUUUUUUUUUGUAUAUUGUGGACACUCAGUAAACACAGAACAAGUGACAAUGAAUAAACUUUCCUUGCAGAGCAAGCAGACUGAAUGUUUUCAGUGAAUAUAUUAUUUAGGCUGGAAUUUUUCAAAUAUUUAGUUGCUGUUAGUGGAAGGAACUUUUCUUCAAGUAAAGUUGUAUGCAGAAAGGUAACACUGACAAUAAGAAAAGUGGAGCUGCUUCAACUAAAACAGGGGAGAGGGUCCGGAGCUCACCUACUCAGACUCUUCUGUUUCUUUCAUCACCUGCCAGUUCACCUUUGCUCUGACACUCCAAAAGUGUGUUGUGAAACCACAAAUCUAGUCUAUAUUCUCAAAACCAAGUUUUAAUAUGUCCUUUAUCUAGGUUCCACAUAUUUUUGUUCUAUUUUCUGUUUGUUAACAAUAUAAAUGAAAUCUUUGUCAUUACAUUUUCCACCUUGUAUUGUUGUUGAUAAUAUAGGAAGCUGCCUUUGUAGAUAAGUUCUCUUAAAAAUUCUUCAAGUGUGUCUGUUUACUCUGCUGAGAUUUUCCAAGUACAUAAUCACAUUGCUUACAAAAGAUGAUUUUUAUCUCAUCCUAGGUAAUAUUUUUUUCUCUUACUUGUUCCAUAUUUUAGCGUAUGCACUAGAAUCCAAAAAAAAAAAAAAUGUUAUUUAAAAAUGGUCCGGGUAUACAUCCUUGUUUAAGUCUUGAUUGUAAUUAGCUUUCUUCUAGACCAGUUACUCUUGUCUUUGUUGCUGGAGUCCCAACUGCAUGAGAUUCUGAUUUAAUUGGUCUGAGGUAGAUCUCAGGCUUCAGCAGGUUUCGGGAUUUUUUUGGGGGGAGUUGGGAGGGGGAGUGGGGCUUGCCUGUGGCGUGUGGAAAUUUCUGGGCCAGGGAUGGAACCCAUGCCAUAGCAUCUCGAUCCAAGCCACUGCAGUAUGACGCCGGAUUCUUAACCUCCUGUUCCACAAGAUAACUCUCUUCAGUAGGUUUAAAAAGCUCUCCAGGAUAUUCUUAUGUUCGGAGAAUUGAGACUCUCAGCUCUAGGUAAUUUACCAUGAAGUACGUUGACUGCUUAUUAUUUUUUUUAUUAUUUCUCCAAUACAUUUUUUUCUACUGUACAGCAUGGUGACCCAGUUACACAUUCUAUUUUCUCACAUUAUCAUGCCCCAGCAUAAGUGACUAGACAUAGUUCCCAGUGCUGCACAGCAUUUCUAUUGAUGGCUUAUUAAAUAUAGUUAUUCCUUACCAUGUUUAGAAAGGAUUGCUGUUCUUAGACGUCUAAGAUUUGGGGGUUUGUUUUUUAUUUAAAAACAGUUUUGCAAUUAUCUGUUGAGAUGUUGAGAUGAUUGUAUUAUAAACACAUAAUAUUCUUUUUUUUUUAAAGAACUUCAUAUUAAUUGUCUUUCUACGGGAAGGAAGAAUUUCAUUUUAUUUAAUUUUUUUGGCUUCCAUGGCACACAGAAGUUCCUGGGCCAGGGACAAACCCACACCACAGCAGUGGCCGGAGCCAUGGCAGUGACAAUGUUGGAUCCUUAACCUGCUAGGCCACCAAGGAAUUUCACAUGUAUUUAUCCUUGUUGGAUAUAUUAAAGCAAUGAAUAAAACAUCCUUGUAUUUAUUCCUAGGUUAAACUUGGCCAUGGUAGGUAAGCCCUUCAUUGUUUUCUUGAGUUCAGGUUGCAUCAUGUUUUCUAUUUGUUAGAAUGAUAUAUUUCUAUGAAUUCUCUGUCCUACCUCAGCAAUAACAACAAUAAUAAUAUCAUUAUGUUUAAGAAGUGUCUAUGUUCCAGAAGCUGAUCUAAAUCUCUUAUAUGAUUAUUUCAUUUAUUUCCAUUUAUACAAAUGGAAACUAAAGCAUGAAAGGAUUAAAAUUCCUGCCCAUGGUCACAGAGCUGGGACAUGGAAAAGCCAAGGUUUGAACGCCAGUAGUUGGUGUUAGAGAACAUGUUGGUUGCAUUAUUUCUUCUAGAGGCCUCUCAGUGUCAUCAUGUGC